AUAUGUGUGCCCAAUGCAAAAGUAAGGCACAGAUCAUGUGUCCCCAUAAAGAAAAUGUAAGAAGGGACCCAUUAAAGUACAAUAUUUUAUUAUAAAUAAUUAAUUUUUAAGUAAGAAGGUAAUAGAACAAAAUCUUUAUACUUGCAAAUACGUAUUUUCCAUCUCACUAUCUCUCUCCCAUCGUCAACAACCAGGGGAAAUCCUUUCCCAUCGCUACUGUAGCUUGAUUUUCUCUCUCGGCUCUCUAGAGAGAGAAAGUAGAUCUAAAAUCAAUUCCUCCCCUCCCCCUUCUCCGAAUUCCCGAUCUAGAUCAUUCCGUCCUCCCCCUUUUCAUGUCGCAAACUUUCAAAAGGAGGGUUGGCAUCUGGCGGAGCAAUUGGAAGCGUUGUUAGGAAUCUCAGUUGUCUUUUGUGUUGUCUCUACAUCCCAAUUGUUCAUCUAGCUAGCUAUGGGGUUUGCUAUCUAGUUUCAUUCUACUUUUUCAAUUCUGGGUUUUGCAGCCUCAGAUCUGAGAUCUCCCUUUCUUCGUCGUCUCUGUUCUUCAUUUUUCCCCCAAAGUCCACAGUAAGUGACAAAACUUUGGUUUUGUUUGCGAUUUGAGUGACAUUUAUGCUUUAGUUUCUGUAUUUUACCCACCAAUAUUGGUGAACUAACAAAACCAUACUUGCAAAUGUUGAUUGAAUGCACUUUUCUCAAUUUAUGCUGUUUUAUGUUUAUAUUCCACUGGCUUUUUUUAACUUCAUAGUAUUCUCUGUAUCUGGUUGCAGCAAGGAACAUAAGAAACUACACGAGCAGUGUCAUUCUUUUUCUUAAUCUUGCCAAUCAAAUUGAAUGAAUAAUUUUUAUGUUUGAGAUCUGUUGUUUAAUACGGCUAACGUGUGCUUGUGGUUUCUCUGUCUUACUUAUUCAGGGGCUUGCUUGAGAGCUGGGGAAUUUUCUUCUUGGAAUACACAGUUAUUACACUGUCAGCAUACUUAAAGAUCACAAGUUGGUAGAUUUGGCCAAAUGACAUAUGAUGAUCAGCUGACUUCUCCAAUAAUACCAAGUAUCCAAAUGACAUGAUGAUCAGCUUUCGUAGAAGUAAUUCCUCAAAAGUAAAGCUACAGAUAUUAAUUACUGGAAGGAGGUAAUUUUUCCCAGCAGCCUAGCUCUUAGAGGAUACUACAGGACUGAAAUUGUAUGUUAGAUACAUGAAGCUUUUAUUAGUCCAAGGUGAAUGGGGCUUAGGCAUGCCAGACAUUUAAACUCGUUGUUGUUUGAAGGAGAAAAUAUAUGUAAAUGUGGAUUUAUUUUGCUGCAAUUAUGUCUCAAUGUAAUUAUUUAAUAAUG